UUGGCGCAGGAUUAGCAUGGGAGAGCGCGCGAGAUGCGAAAAUUUUCGCUCCAAAUAAGCAAAAUCCCCAAACUCCAACUCAGACUAAAAUCCCCAAAUCGACCACCCUGACCUAGCCUCCUCCCCGAGCACAUGCCGCCGCCGCCCCCCACCCUGCGCGGCUGCCGACCGCCCUCCGCCACACUCCAGUGCCAGCUUCCUCCCCGACCACGCGCCGACCACCGUCCGCCACACCUAGUGCCACUCCUCCCGGACCAUGCCGCCGAGCACCCUCCGCCGCCCCGACCACCAUUCGCCGGACCUCCAGCAACGCCCAAGCAGCCAAACCUCCUACACGCAUCCUCCGCCAGGCUCCUCUAGGCUCGAGUUGCUCAAGUGUUUCAGCGGAAGGAUCUGUUCGAGUGAGGUUGUCCACAAGGAUGACGUCUAACUUCCACCAGAUCUGGCAUGAAACGAGGUAAUCCAGUUAGGUUUAGUUUUGAUUUGGCUGUCUUACCUCCCCGUACAGCAGUCUUGGCCUCUUUCCCAUCCGCCCUCGCUGUAGCACAUGGCUGCCAACAUUGUAUUCUCGGCUUGUAGGAUACCCAAGCGACUCGCAGAUGCGAAGGAAAAUUGAGCAAGGUUCCGCCUCCCAUGGUUGAGCAGUCGUAAGGGUUAUGUUGUCUCUCCAUGUUGCUGGUCAUAUGAGCCCAACUAAUAUUUGCUUCCUGUGAUCUACGGAAGGAUAAAAUUGAUGUUUCCUACCUGCCAUACUCAUCUAUUUCUGUUUUCAGUUGACAUGCCUACUGUACGAAUUACAGUCUUUGGUACAUUCACUUAUCCCUUCGAAUUUGACAAGCAUGGAAGAAUCUGAAUAUCACUUAUCCCUCUCCCGUUAUUAUUUAGCAUAUGUUAACUGACUGCUGUGUUUAUGCUUAUAUCCUUCGGUUAUUGUUUAUAACAAACCAAAUUAAGGAUUUUGUGUUCAUCUCUGAAACUUCAUAGUGAUGGUUGGUAUUUAAUCUUUCAAGGAAAUGCAGCAAACUGUUGUACUAGGAAGAUUAUCCUGACAUGGGAGUUUUUUUAGGAACAGGAGAGUUGCACACAUAUGAAGUAUAGAAAUUUAUUCUUAAUGUGCUAGGCUUAAUGCAACUAGAUAAAUAAUGUUCAACAAGGCAUAUUGAUGUGUUAAAUUGUUUUCAGUUUCAGUGUCAAUACAAGAAAGGUAACCUUGUGUUAGAUCUUCAAUCCAAGGGAGAAAUUGGAGCAUCGGGACAUUUAAACCGAACCUAAAUUAAGGUUGAUCUUUACUUGCAAUCUAAUUUGCAUAUUGGUGUGUGUUCUUCAGGAAUCAUGAUACUACUUUAUGAUCUGAUUGGUGAAAGAGGUAUUUUGUACGGUUCUCUUGUGUCCGACAUGUCUUUUUCUCUCUAUAUAAAGUAGCAUUGAAAAUGUCCUUGUAUUUCCUUUGACAUCUCCGAAGCUCAUACCUGAAUAUCAUGAUAUAUGCCUGUAAGAAAGCUAUGUAUGUUCUUUUGAGUUAAACCUAACACCAAACAUUUUAGUUUCUAUACUUGUCAGUUAAUGCUGGAAAAACGUUUGAAUUUUAUUUGCUGUACUAGUUGCCUUUGUGUGCUCAUACAAAAAUACUAGAUCCUACGAUGUCAAAAAUUGAUACAGGUUGUGGAUCACACUUCCUUUUUCUCGAACAUUGUUCCUAUUUUGUCUUAUGUGCAGUUUUUUCAAACAGAUUUCGAUGAUUCUUCACUUUCAGAAAACUGAACUUAAUAUCAGAGGCAAUCUCACCAUGCCAUUAUGGGUUUAAUUAUUUGUCCAGACCUGAAACUGUUGUCAUGCUUUCCAGGAAGGGCAACUAGAUGUGCUUAAUUCAUGUGCCCAGGCUUGAAACUGCGGACAUUUUUUAGCUUCUUAUUAAAUCGAAUAUUCACUUGAUGCCUUGAUGGGAAAUUUGUCGAGAAAUUUUCUUGAUGAUGUAGCCGUUUUCUUCUAAAAGUUGGGGUGGUGAACUUUUGUAGAUUCAGAGUAUCGUAAUAAAUGUAAUGGAUAUAAUGUUUUCUAAUACUACCUGACUUGACAUUUGGACUUUUCCUGUCUAGGUUGAAAAUGUUCCUAUAAGAUUCGUCAAGAUACCUUGCCUUAACCAUAUGCCCUGAGCUCACACAGAAGUUACAGGCUUUACUCUUUGUGUUUGUUUCAUCUUGUACUGCUCAAGUUUCUAGAAACUACAGAUGCUAAAUUAUGAGGGAAGUCUUCAUGUGUAAUCAAUGAAUUGCUUACAUUGUAAAAUAUUUGAUGAUCAGACUUUAUAAUAUAUAUGCGAUGUGCAUCUGCAUAAUCUUUUUGCUUUA